GGGAGACUUGAGUGCAGGAGAGGAGAGUGGAAUUCCUAGUGUAGCGGUGAAAUGCGUAGAUAUUAGGAGGAACACCAGUUGCGAAGGCGGCUCGCUGGACUGUAACUGACGCUGAGGCACGAAAGCGCGGGGAGCAAACAGGAUUAGAUACCCUGGUAGUCCACGCUGUAAACGAUGAGUACUAGGUGUCGGGGGUUACCCCC
rnacentral:rRNA from 1 species